rnacentral:rRNA from 1 species
AUGAAGCAUGGUUGUGUCUUCAGUGCGCAUCGCCGGAUGAACGACAUGUUGGGACACGCUAUCCCUGAUUUAUGCCGCUUCAGCUUGGAUGAGUCUCCAUCAUGUGGAACUGGACUAGAAAGCUGCGACAAUGAUUCCCGUUGCCCACCACUAUGGAUCAGUUGGUAUGAGAACAGUAGUAGAGACGCAAAUGCGCUGGCCUUCAUGAUUCCAGGACCUGGAAUCAUACCAGCCGAUGGUUUGAAGCACUCCUCUGGUUUGAAGGAUAUAUAUCAGUUAGGCUUCAAGUGUUCGAAGAAGGAUUGGCCGGUGCUGCUGGCUGGCGUCAAGUUCAAUCCCACGAAUCAAGAGCUAAUCGAGCACCUUGAGGCCAAAGUGAGUGCUGACAGCGUGAGAUCUCAGUCUCUCAUCGAUUUGUUCAUACCAACCAUCGACAGCGAGCACGACAUAUGCUACACCCAACCUGAGAAACUUCCAGGUAUCACACUGAGUGGCCUAAGGAAGCAUUUCUUCCAGCACAAUUCCAGGGCGUUCAUAAGGGGCACGUGGACGUGCCGCAAGAUACAGUUGGAGUGCGGCAUGCACGCGAUGUGGCACAAGACCGGCAAUACCUUGCCGGUGAUGGUCAACGGCCGGCAGAUGGGCAGCAAAAAGGUUCUGGUGCUGCACACCAACAAGAACUUCGACCAGCAGAGGACCAACUGGGUGAUGCACCAGUACCACCUCGGGGACCUGGAGAAAGAGAAGGAGCGGGAGCUGGUCGUCUGCAAGAUUUUCUACCAGACGAACACUAGGGCCAGGAGUAAAAAGAUUAUAAGUUAG